rnacentral:tRNA from 1 species
GCUUUCAUGGUGUAGUGGUCAGCACGCUGGGCGCAUAUUCCAGAAGUCCGUGGUUCGAGCCCCGGCGAAGGCG